GUGAUAGAGCUGGAUUAGAGCUGAGUAUAUACUCAGGGGGAUAGAGCUAAGUAUAAUUAAGGUUUUUGAGGGUCUGGUUGAUAACUACUUCUUUCUACUUGAAUUAUGAAUGAGAAAUUGGUUAAUGAAGUCAUAUGGGUCUUGUAACUGGUGUUGGGAAGAGAGAAAAGACCUAGGAGGCUGGACGGAUUGAGAAUGGGAGAGGAGGAGCUAGAGCGGUGAUGAGGGAUGAGAAUGAACCAGCAGCCUGGCAUGUGAAUAAACCUGGGAAGAAGAUGCCUUGUGCGUGAGCUGGUAACAAUAUUUGUUUAAGAUGUUAAUAUAAUUGCUAAAGGAAAUAAGUCUUUUAAAGUCUGUUAUAGGAGUGGUCUUCCUGUGUGCAAGAGCUGGCAGACUUCAGCUGGAAGAACCAGAGAUGACUGUUCUUGGCUUUAAUGUUUUCUCAAAGGUUUCAGUAUUUUCCAAUUAGGUACUGGAAGAAAGCUGAUUAAAUGUGCAGGACCCCUCUGAAUCUUAAGAGGACUGGAAUUAAAAAAGGACCAAAGACAGUGAGAAACUGGGGUUGUCUGGUUACAAGGAGACUUGACUGGAGAAAUGUGUGGAGCAAACGGUCAUGGCAAAAUUGGGAUUGAAAAGGCUAAGCAAGCUGAUCCAGACUGAAUUAGGCUGGAAUCUUCACUGGUGGCUACAAUGUUAAAUUUUAAAGGCCCAUGAAAUCUUAACAGCUGUCCAGGUAAUUGGCCUUUUCUUAUGAACCUACAAAACCAGUUUUAAUGUGACUGUCAGCCCAAUUUCUUAAAUGAAAACAUGUUUCCUCUUGGGUCACAGUUUACCUAAACUGACUAGUAUCUGCCUGAAGUCCUAUCAAACAACAUAAAAUCAGGCUGAUGGAAAGGUGGGCAAUAUCCUCCAAUGAGAAGAGGAACCUUAAUCACUAGGGUCAGAGAAGCAAAUUCCUCCAGAUGAGACCAAGCUCAGUAGCCUCUUAGGCUAUAGAAGGUAUGAGGAAAUAAAACCGCUUAACCCUGCGCAGAAGCUCAGUGUACUUACUCUUCCAGAUGUGCAGUGCUAUGAGUACUACUUACUCUUCUUAGUCUGAAGCAGUCACAAAAACCUGCAUGUGGAAGCUGGUAUCACAGCCUGCUUUGAAUCUGUCAUCUAAAAAUGUCCAUUUGGUCUUUGUCCCCUGUGAGAAGUCUGACCAGUGAGCCCAAGUAUGUGUUUGUACUGAUGCCAGGUCUGAGACCAGAUGGAAAGAGAUCCAGAAAAUCUGAGGAAUCCAGAUAAAGCCACUGCUGUUUUGCCACAGCUUUCUCAAUAACAUGCCCUGAAAAGGAAGAUGAGAGACUGAAAUAAUCAUGCCAAUUAUCUGUGUCAAAGAUUUAUUGUGCAAAGGUCUCAUAUUUGCUUAUAUUAACUGAUACCCUGCUCCCUUCAGGGAGGCAGGCAGCAAAAAUAGACCAAUAAGUAUGUUAGAUUUUAAUUUAUUUAUAAUUUUUUUAGCUUCCACUGGAGAGACACAUACGAAUUGCAGCACAAAGCUAGCUGAGCGCUUCCAGAACCUCCGUGAGUGCAACUGAAAGAAAGUUAACCUGAGGAGUGCUGUGUGAAUUCAGACUAGAAGUGGCUACUUGUAUGGAAAUCUGUCAGUCCUGGACCAAAUGGCUCAUGCAUAAAGAUACCUCACUGGCUUGGAUGGUUUUUACCUGCAAAAGUCUUGCUGACAGUGACAGUUAACUUCACUUGUGUUUAAGGUGAAGUACUGUAGAUUUAGAUUAUCUUAAAGUCCUUUCCAACCCUAACCAUUCUAUGAUUCUAUGUUUUUAACUGGAAAUGCUCAAACACUUAUUUCCACAGAAAAUAAAGAAUGUCUGCCUUUGGCAACA